UACGAACCGUACGAACGUUAUUCGGAAUCACUGGGCUUAAAGGGUGCGUAGGCUGCGCGGAAAGUUGGGUGUGAAAUCCCUCGGCUCAACCGAGGAACUGCGCCCAAAACUGCCGUGCUCGAGGGAGACAGAGGUGAGCGGAACUUAGGGUGGAGCGGUGAAAUGCGUUGAUAUCCUAAGGAACACCGGUGGCGAAAGCGGCUCACUGGGUCUCUUCUGACGCUGAGGCACGAAAGCUAGGGUAGCGAACGGG
rnacentral:rRNA from 1 species